UACGGGGGGAGCAAGCGUUGUUCGGAUUUACUGGGCGUAAAGGGCUCGUAGGUGGCCAACUAAGUCAUACGUGAAAUCCCUCAGCUUAACUGGGGAACUGCGUGUGAUACUGGAUGGCUUGGAUUUGGGAGAGGGAUGCGGAAUUCCAGGUGUAGCGGUGAAAUGCGUAGAUAUCUGGAGGAACACCGGUGGCGAAGGCGGCAUCCUGGACCAAUAUUGACGCUGAGGAGCGAAAGCCAGGGGAGCAAACGGG
rnacentral:rRNA from 1 species